rnacentral:rRNA from 1 species
CUUGUUGGUGGGGUAACGGCUCACCAAGGCGACGAUCCCUAGCUGGUCUGAGAGGAUGACCAGCCACACUGGAACUGAGACACGGUCCAGACUCCUACGGGAGGCAGCAGUGGGGAAUAUUGCACAAUGGGCGCAAGCCUGAUGCAGCCAUGCCGCGUGUAUGAAGAAGGCCUUCGGGUUGUAAAGUACUUUCAGCGGGGAGGAAGGGAGUAAAGUUAAUACCUUUGCUCAUUGACGUUAUCCGCAGAAGAAGCACCGGCUAACUCCGUGCCAGCAGCCGCGGUAAUACGGAGGGUGCAAGCGUUAAUCGGAAUUACUGGGCGUAAAGCGCACGCAGGCGGUUUGUUAAGUCAGAUGUGAAAUCCCCGGGCUCAACCUGGGAACUGCAUCUGAUACUGGCAAGCUUGAGUC